AUUGAACGCUGGCGGCAGGCCUAACACAUGCAAGUCGAACGAGUGGCGGACGGGUGAGUAAUGUCUGGGAAACUGCCCGAUGGAGGGGGAUAACUACUGGAAACGGUAGCUAAUACCGCAUACCAUCGGAUGUGCCCAGAUGGGAUUAGCUUGUAGGUGAGGUAACGGGUCACCUAGGCGACGAUCCCUAGCUGGUCGGAGAGGAUGACCAGGCACACGGGAACGUAGACACGGGCCAGACGCCUACGGGAGGCAGCAGGGGGGAAUAGGGCACAAUGGGAGCAAGACUGAUGCAGCCAGGGCGCGUGUAUGAAGAAGGCCGUCGGGUUGUAAAGUACUUGCAGCGGGGAGGCGUUACCCGCAGAAGAAGCACCGGCUAACUCCGUGCCAGCAGCCGCGGUAAUAC
rnacentral:rRNA from 1 species